ACUGAGCUUGUCAACAGCCAGUCAAGAAUGGAGAAGGAGUUUAUGAUGCUGAAGCCUGGCCCACUGUGGCAAUCUUUUCCUGCUGCUUGACAAUCUGGAUAUAGAAAUCUCAGCUUCCUGCCAUUAUCACAAUGGACAAAACCUCUGAGUAUCUGCAGGGAGCUCCAGCUGGAAUCCUCACCAUCAAGGAAUUCCCUCUUGCAGCACACACUGUUAUGGAGAGGUGAGCCAGGGGAAGCAGGGUACC